UGUGCACUUUUUAAAAAGUCAGCUAUAUUGGUGGCCAAUGAACUCAAGGGUAGAUAGGUAGUAUGCUACAUGAAGGGCAAGUUUUUUGCUAAUACCACAAGAGUCUCUGGUCCAAUGAAUUGAGUUUGAUAGUAAUCCUUGCUAUAAGU